rnacentral:rRNA from 1 species
CGAGUGGCGGACGGGUGAGUAAUGUCUGGGAAACUGCCUGAUGGAGGGGGAUAACUACUGGAAACGGUAGCUAAUACCGCAUAACGUCGCAAGACCAAAGAGGGGGACCUUCGGGCCUCUUGCCAUCGGAUGUGCCCAGAUGGGAUUAGCUAGUAGGUGGGGUAACGGCUCACCUAGGCGACGAUCCCUAGCUGGUCUGAGAGGAUGACCAGCCACACUGGAACUGAGACACGGUCCAGACUCCUACGGGAGGCAGCAGUGGGGAAUAUUGCACAAUGGGCGCAAGCCUGAUGCAGCCAUGCCGCGUGUAUGAAGAAGGCCUUCGGGUUGUAAAGUACUUUCAGCGGGGAGGAAGGCGAUAAGGUUAAUAACCUUGUCGAUUGACGUUACCCGCAGAAGAAGCACCGGCUAACUCCGUGCCAGCAGCCGCGGUAAUACGGAGGGUGCAAGCGUUAAUCGGAAUUACUGGGCGUAAAGCGCACGCAGGCGGUCUGUCAAGUCGGAUGUGAAAUCCCCGGGCUCAACCUGGGAACUGCAUUCGAAACUGGCAGGCUAGAGUCUUGUAGAGGGGGGUAGAAUUCCAGGUGUAGCGGUGAAAUGCGUAGAGAUCUGGAGGAAUACCGGUGGCGAAGGCGGCCCCCUGGACAAAGACUGACGCUCAGGUGCGAAAGCGUGGGGAGCAAACAGGA